ensembl:miRNA Mir503 microRNA 503
UGCCCUAGCAGCGGGAACAGUACUGCAGUGAGUGUUUGGUACCCUGGAGUAUUGUUUCCACUGCUUGGGUA